AUUUAGAUAGUUUAAGAAGAACAUAGCGCUGAAAAUGCUAAAGUAGAAAUUCUAAAUG
rnacentral:tRNA from 1 species